rnacentral:rRNA from 1 species
UACGUAGGAGGCAAGCGUUGUCCGGAAUUACUGGGUGUAAAGCGCGUGUAGGCGGCAGGCCAAGUCUGUGGUGAAAUCGCUCGGCUCAACUGGGCGGGGUCCAUGGAAACUGGUCAGCUGGAGGACGGUAGAGGUGAGUGGAAUUCCCGGUGUAGUGGUGAAAUGCGUAGAUAUUGGGAAGAACACCUGAGGCGAAGGCGGGUUGCUGGGCCGACACUGACGCUGAUGCGCGAAAGCCAGGGGAGCGAACGGG